rnacentral:rRNA from 2 species
AUUAGAGUUUGAUCCUGGCUCAGGAUGAACGCUGGCGGCGUGCUUAACACAUGCAAGUCGAACGAUGAUCCGGUGCUUGCACCGGGGAUUAGUGGCGAACGGGUGAGUAACACGUGAGUAACCUGCCCUUAACUCUGGGAUAAGCCUGGGAAACUGGGUCUAAUACCGGAUAUGACUCCUCAUCGCAUGGUGGGGGGUGGAAAGCUUUAUUGUGGUUUUGGAUGGACUCGCGGCCUAUCAGCUUGUUGGUGAGGUAAUGGCUCACCAAGGCGACGACGGGUAGCCGGCCUGAGAGGGUGACCGGCCACACUGGGACUGAGACACGGCCCAGACUCCUACGGGAGGCAGCAGUGGGGAAUAUUGCACAAUGGGCGCAAGCCUGAUGCAGCGACGCCGCGUGAGGGAUGACGGCCUUCGGGUUGUAAACCUCUUUCAGUAGGGAAGAAGCGAAAGUGACGGUACCUGCAGAAGAAGCGCCGGCUAACUACGUGCCAGCAGCCGCGGUAAUACGUAGGGCGCAAGCGUUAUCCGGAAUUAUUGGGCGUAAAGAGCUCGUAGGCGGUUUGUCGCGUCUGCCGUGAAAGUCCGGGGCUCAACUCCGGAUCUGCGGUGGGUACGGGCAGACUAGAGUGAUGUAGGGGAGACUGGAAUUCCUGGUGUAGCGGUGAAAUGCGCAGAUAUCAGGAGGAACACCGAUGGCGAAGGCAGGUCUCUGGGCAUUAAACUGACGCUGAGGAGCG